rnacentral:rRNA from 1 species
ACGGGGGGAACGCGAAGAACCUUACCCACCUUUGACAUGGCAGGAAUCCUUUAGAGAUAGAGGAGUGCUCGAAAGAGAACCUGCACACAGGUGCUGCAUGGCUGUCGUCAGCUCGUGUCGUGAGAUGUUGGGUUAAGUCCCGCAACGAGCGCAACCCUUGUCAUUAGUUGUUACGAAAGGGCACUUUAAUGAGACUGCCGGUGACAAACCGGAGGAAGGUGGGGAUGACGUCAAGUCCUCAUGGCCCUUAUAGGUGGGGCUACACACGUCAUACAAUGGCCGGUACAAAGGGUCGCAAACCCGCGAGGGGGAGCAAAUCCCAUAAACACACCGGUCCGAAGUCCGGAA